UACAGAGGUCUCAAGCGUUGUUCGGAUUCAUUGGGCGUAAAGGGUGCGUAGGUGGGCAAGUAAGUCAGUGGUGAAAUCUCCGGGCUUAACCGGGGAACUGCAUCUGAUACUGGAUGGCUUGAGAUUGGGAGAGGGAUGCGGAAUUCCAGGUGUAGCGGUGAAAUGCGUAGAUAUCUGGAGGAACACCGGUGGCGAAGGCGGCAUCCUGGACCAACACUGACGCUGAGGAGCGAAAGCCAGGGAGCAAAGCAGGG
rnacentral:rRNA from 1 species